ensembl:lncRNA
CAAAUCUGACCCCCCCAGCCAUUACUUAUGUAAAGUAAAAAAAAAAAAACAUUUCUAGUAGAAAAAAAUAACAAAAAUAUCAACAUAACGCCAAACUAAUGCCUAAAUAAUAAUUUUCUAGCACACAUGCCCCCCUCCAUUGUGCAUUGGACUAGUCCAGAAUAUGAUGACGUAGUAACGCGCGCAGCGCGAAAUAACGUACUUCAAACCAAAGCAUAGGGAUGCGACUCGGUGAAAAUGAAGCGGCGGAAUUAUGAAAGUGGUUGUGCUAAACGAAGACAAAAAGCUGAGAAGAGAAGAAUUGCAGAUACACUGCCGAAAUUAACAUCAUUUUUUACACCUGCUGCUGCCACAGCAGCCGCGGCUGCUGAACUUGCGACAGGCUCUGCUGUUGGGGGAAAUGAUGAAGUGGAGGUGGAGGAGGAAGGAGGAGAGGUGGGUGCCGAAGGAGAAGAGGUGGCUAUGGAAGCCGAAGGAGAGGAAGAUGAAGACGAAGAUGAUUUGGCGUGAGAAAACAACAGGGGAAAAGACAGAUGAACAACAUCACCUUCUAUCAGUGAGCCCUGGCUGAACAAGGUUGGGUUCUAUACUGCUGCUCACCACUAUUCUCUGAUAUGAAGACGACAACAGUCAUGGCCGAUCACAGCUGCUCACCAUCAUUGACACCAGCAUCCCCACACACAUGAUCUUCAUCCAGGCAGCUCUCUCUCUCUCUCUCUCUCUCUCUCUCUCUCUCUCUCUCUCUCUCUCU